GUGACUCUUGCAGCAAGUGUUGCGAGCCAUUCUCCGCAGCAAUGCCUUUGCAGUUAUGUCCACGUGGUGCUGCUGAACACAGCAAUUGAACCGGAAUGUACAACCAGCGCUGGAUUAACCAUUAAGCAAAAUAAGUAGGUGCUUGUGACACCAAAGGAAGGGGAAGGCACCACAGAAAUGGUAAAUAAUUUACGGCAUAAAAGGAAUCACUUUAAACUUGCUAAAAUAACAUUCAAAGUGGUUUAUAUGAUCGUAAAAUGUAAUUUCAAAGUGUUCAUGAUGUUAUAGUGAGGAUCUGAUCAAAGACUUUGCAAUUAAAAUUAGUAGUAAACUUGCCUUCUAGGCAAUCUUUCGUCUCUAGUAGACCUUUCCGUCGAUUUCCGUAAAAAAAAUUUUUUUUUACAUAUGGGCUUGCGGGAACUUUUGAAGUAAUGAGAGCGAAAGAGACUAAGAGAAAGCGAUUGUAUGACGAGGGAAGUUCUUUUGAAGUUACCGUGCAUGGGAGCAUUGAUGUACAUGUGUGUGUGUGUGUGUGUUUGAUGGGGUGUGGGAGACAGACAGUAUGUUGUGUAAUCGACGGAAAGGUCUACUUGAGACGAAAGAUCGCCGUAAACUCUUCUAAUAUAAAUAGUGGAAGUAUACAAAAAAAGAAAGAAAGAAAGACAUUUUCAUCUUACAGUUAGUUUCGUUUCACUUUGAAAAACUAAAAAUUUAUUUUACGGUUUAUUAUUGUUUAUAUUUUUAAUUACAUAUGCAUAUGAGGGCACCAGAAUCUUUUAAGUACUAUCGGCCUCUAUGGGUCUUAAUCCGGCCCUGCUUCCAACCCCCAUCUUUUGCUACUUAAUCUCCCCCACAUUUUUUUUUCUUCUUCAUCUUUGUUUCCUUGUUGAAGUAACUGUUUUUGUUUUAUACCUUUUUUCACACUAAUUUAAUCUUUUAUACUUUAAUUUUUUUCUUCCAGUAAAAAUAUGUUACUAAAUAAAAAGGAUCUUUUCGGUUUGAACGGCAGUUUUUUCUAGUGGUGUCAUAUGAAAUUGUCACCCAUAAUUAUGACCCUAGUAUCGAUCUAUUGCAUUUCAGUCUAUUUUAGGGUUAGGGUUGGGGGAAGGGUAUAUUUUGUUCUUCAGAAAUGUAAAUAAACCCAAUCUGUUUCUUAAACGAGGGACAUAUUCAUACGGCACAGAAUGUUUUCAACUCAAUAGACGUCAUUGAUUGGUUGAAAUUGCAGAAAUUGAAGAAAAAAACAACAAAUAUCUUACAAACUAUAGAAUUUUCUCAAUAAAGCCAAGCGAAAAAGAUGUUUUAUAAACACAUUCUACCAGAAUACGAAGUUUAAAAGUGUUUAGUUACGUGGAAAUUAUUUUAAAAAACUGCCGGUCAAACCGAAAAGAUCCAAUAAAAAUUCUUUCUGCAAUGGACGACAAACUUUAAUUGAGGAAAAAAAAGAGAAAACAACAACAAAAAAAUCAAGCCGAAAACUUUUUUUACAAUUUUCAGAAUUUAAUACAAGUCACAAAUCCCGUCUGAUUUAUCUCCCUUGCUGAUGGAAGGAAUGCAUCGCGGCUCUUCACCACAUAAAUUAACACACUUUUUGCUAAAUGCAUGCAUGUGUAUCAUCAUCCACCACCACCACCACCACCACCACCAUCAUCAUCUUUCUAUGCAUAUACAAGCAUACCUCAACUUACGUCAUUUUGAGUUACGCUCUUUUUUCUAAAAGAAAUUAAUAGAAACAUAUUUAAAAAGCACAGGUUUUUUUUUUUUAAAAAACUAAAAUAUAAUGCUGAAAUGGAAAUAAAAUAAGAUACACGUGAAAGACCAUUUAUUAAAACAAAUACAAGUUAAUAAUUUGAAAAUUUUUUUGAAUGUUGUUUUUCGAGUUAAGUCUCUUGGAACCAAUUACGGACGUAAGUUGAGGUAUGCCUGUAUAUAUUUGCAUAAUAUAUAAUUAUACAGAUAUAUAUUUAUUCACGCACAUUCGGAUCUAUAAAUAAUAGGAAAAGUGUUAAUUUAACAACUAAAACAACAAUAUUUAUGUACAAAAAGAUAUUUACGUUUUAAUUUAUUGCUUUCACUUUCGUUUUUUAUUCACAGAAUACUGCUUAGAAAAUGUAAACAUGUAGACACAAUUCGUGUGCAUUUGGGUGUAUAUGUAUGAGUAUUUAUGUACGUAUGUAAGUAUGGAUCGGACCAGAUUUUCAACAAUUAAAAAAAUAUUUUUGGAGUCGAUUUUACGAAAAAUAAACUGGGCAAUCCUUCGGAGACGGUAUGUCAAAACUGAAACUAUUCGGCAAUUUUCGUAAAUUGUUUUUAUUUCUUUAAUUCAUUUCAGCUGAAUUGCUUAUAUGUUUACGUAUUUUUUGUGUAUGAAUGUGUGUGUAAGUAUAUGUAUAUAUAUACAUGCACAAAUAUACAUACAUGUACAUAAACACAUGCGCACAUAUACUUACAUACACAAAUAUGCAUACAUACAUACACGAAUAUACCUGUUCAUAAACACAUGCAUAUACUUACAUACACAAGUAUACAUACAUACAAACAUAUAUACAUGCACAAAAAGUACACAAACGUUAGUGGUUCAGCUGAAAAAAGAAAUUAAAGAGAUGAGAAUUUUUUAUGGAAAUUGUUGAACAAAUAAAUUCAGUUUUGAUAUACCAUCUCCGAAGGAUUACCAUAUAUUGUAAUAAAAUACAUUUACAGGGUGGAUAGAAAAUAACUAGGCAUUAGAAAUUGAUUAUAGAAUUUUCCAUAUCACUGAAGUCAUGAUGAAAACAUUUUUCAAACAGACAACACUAACGGGGAUUUCUUAUUGUCUUAUUUCUAAUUUCUUAUUUUCCAGAUUGCCAGUUGCUUAACUGUUCGGGAGCAAGCUAAGAUAGCAGCACGCUAUGAAGUGUGGAAUUGGUUCAGAGAUGGUGGCAUGCAUGGAAAGGUAAGCAUGCAACAUUGCGUCUGGAGACAAUAAAAAGUUGUCAUGCAAAGCUGAUGACCACGGGCUCUGUGAAUGAUGGAAAAAGAAGUGGCUGACCUACCACAUCCCAAUCAGUAGAGAAUGUGGCAAGAGUACAAGAAAUGUUUAAUCACAGCCCACAAAAAUCAACUUAUUAAGCAGCUCAUGAAAGUAGACUAAAGAGACAUGCAAUACAUGUGGUGUUACGUAAAGAAUUGAAUUUUCAUCCAUUACAUGUAGGAGUUAAAACCUGAGGACUGUGACCGCAGAAGUCCAGAACUCCAAGAUGUCCAGAUCUCACUCCAUGUGAUUUUUACCUGCAGGGUUACGCAAAAGAGGAGGUGUACAAGACAAAACCUUACACACGGGAGGACUUGCAGACAUGGAUUCAGGAGGUUCUCAAUGAUAUCCCAGACAACAUCCUUCAGAAGUUUGUUCAUUCCAUCCCUGGUCGUUUGAGGAAACAGGUUGAUGCCACCAGUGCUUAUAUUGAAAUAUGAAGAUUUAAUUUCAUUUCCCAUGUAAUAAAGAACAUGUAUC
rnacentral:lncRNA from 1 species